rnacentral:rRNA from 1 species
UAGGGAAUCUUCGGCAAUGGGGGGAACCCUGACCGAGCAACGCCGCGUGAGUGAAGAAGGUUUUCGGAUCGUAAAGCUCUGUUGUUAAGGAAGAACGAGUGUGAGAAUGGAAAGUUCAUGCUGUGACGGUACUUAACCAGAAAGGGACGGCUAACUACGUGCCAGCAGCCGCGGUAAUACGUAGGUCCCGAGCGUUGUCCGGAUUUAUUGGGCGUAAAGCGAGCGCAGGCGGUUAGAAAAGUCUGAAGUGAAAGGCAGUGGCUCAACCAUUGUAGGCUUUGGAAACUGUUUGACUUGAGUGCAGAAGGGGAGAGUGGAAUUCCAUGUGUAGCGGUGAAAUGCGUAGGUAUAUGGAGGAACACCGGUGGCGAAAGCGGCUCUCUGGUCUGUAACUGACGCUGAGGCUCGAAAGCGUGGGGAGCGAACAGG